rnacentral:lncRNA from 1 species
AAACAAAAGAUUUAAUUAAAAUGAAACAUGGCCAAUAUAUUUGAUUAGUAAGAUAAAACAAAAACAAAUAUAAGAAUGUAUUAAAGGUAAGCCAAUGUAAAAAAAAAAUUAAUUUAUCGUUUGGGGAAUUUAAUUAGGUUAGUUAACAAUUUAAAAGUUAGAGUCAACACGCAAUAAACAAUAAAUAAUCAUAAUUAAAUAAUUAAAGAGUAGGGAGAAAUUGAAUUUGGGCCUCCUUUUGGGCCAAAUUCGCUGAAAUUGGGGCUUAGGCUCAAUCCCGUUUUUGUAUACACUGGUUGUAUACCAGUGUAUAUCGUAUGAAUCCAGCCCAUUUUUUUGUAUAUAAGGCCGUAUACCAAAUGUAUACAACCUAAUCCAACUUCCAGAACAGCUGUUUCGAUUUUUGGACCUGUAUAUCGCUGCUUUUUCCAUGUAUACCAUGUAUACAAAAUCUGUAUACCAGUGUAUACCAGCCUUUCCCUGCGUUUUUUGCUUCCAUUUACCCUGUAUUUUAGCUUCCUUUUCAACUUGUUGCGGGCAGCUGAACCGGGACAAUAUUGAGCAGGGAGACAGCAAGGACAAGUUUUCACCACUGAAAGGGAUUCCGAACACUUCGGCAGACUCCGACAACACGAGAAAAGAGGAACCGAACUAAUAGACGACUUAGAUCUUUUCUAAGUUAUUUCGAAAUGCUUCUGUUCAACUAUUCUCUCUAUUUGCUAGUUUAUCCGAUGUCCAAAACCAACGCCCCUCUUUCUUAUCCUAAAAUUUUCAACCAAAAUCCUCCACUCCAAAAAAAAAAUCCCCCCUUAUCCCUUUCAACAGUUGACCAUAUAUAGGAGGGCAAUAGGGUUCGGGAAUGGGGGGAAAACGGAUCCAAAUUUGGACAAAAGGAGGCCAAAUUCAAAUUCAAACUUCAAAAUUUCUUUCACCAAAUUAGGCGAACACCUUUUCUUGCAAUUUUCACCCCAUUCCGGAAGAGGAAAGGGGGCAGACGCAUGCUCUGUCCCGCUGUUGCGUGUGUCAACGCGUUUG